ncrna:Mycolicibacterium vanbaalenii PYR-1 Actino-pnp RNA
CGCGGUCUUCGGUAGUGGCUGCCGGAGAGACACUCCGGCAGCUUCGAUCGACGGCCGUC